GUGCACCAGGCGCGAAUACUUUACAAUGUGCGAAAGCACGAUAAGGGAACUCUGAGUGCCUCCUAAGGAGGCUGUUCAGGUGUCUAAAAGCACCUGAAGGAAGGGCUGGGUAAGACCGGUGCCAGCCGCCGCGGUAACACCGGCAGCCCAAGUGGUAGCCACGUUUAUUGGGUCUAAAGCGUCCGUAGCCGGCUGGGUAAGUUCCUUGGGAAAUUUGGCUGCUUAACAGUCAAGCUUUCAGGGAAUGCUGCCCGGCUUGGGACCGGGAGAGGUCAGAGGUACUCCAGGGGUAGGGUGAAAUCCGAUUAAUCCUUGGGGGACCACCGGUAGCGAAGGCGUCGUGACCAGACCGGGUCCGACCGGUGAGGGACGAAGGCUAGGGGCGCGAACCGGGAUUAGAUACCCGCGUAG
rnacentral:rRNA from 1 species